rnacentral:tRNA from 1 species
CUGGGGCAUAGCUCAGAGGGAGAGCUCUUGCCUGGAAUGCACAAGGCCCCCAGUUCAAUUCUUAGCACCAGG